GGCCUUAUAUUCAAUGUACAGAUGAUAUUAGAUUGCAAAUCUGAAGGAGUAGUAAGUUCUACUAAGGCUU
rnacentral:tRNA from 1 species